AAGGUAGCCGUACGAGAACGUGCGGCUGGAUCACCUCCUUUUUAAGGAGUAAACAUGCGCUUUAAGUUUACUUAAAACGAGAUGUUAAUGGUCGGUUCUUAGAUUAUAAUGUUUGAAUCGAGUUCAGCGGGGCGUUUGUUUGUGUGUUAUGAAGCUGUUUUCAUGUGGCGAAAAGACUAUAUCUCUUAAAGGGCGUGAGGUUGUAUAAACGGGCCUAUAGCUCAGUUAGUCAGAGCGCACCCUUGAUAAGGGUGAGGUCUGUGGUGCAACUCCACAUAGGCCCACCAAGCACAACCGAUG
rnacentral:tRNA from 1 species